rnacentral:lncRNA from 1 species
GUGACAGCUUGUCCUGGCUCGUCUUGCAUUGGCUUUCGCUAAAGCCGCUUUCUCUAUCUAGAGUAGUAACCGCGCUUGUGCCUAGUUGAUGCUCCAUUAACUUGGUUCCCUGUCGUCGUCGUCGAUCGAUGCUUUGCUUUCGCUGUAGAUGAGACAGAAACUGAAAAUUCGCUCGUCUUCUUUUCAUCAGACUUUAACUGCAUCUUUUAGCGCGUGAUGUUUUUCCCUUCCUCGCUAGGGCGGGUGAAACCGGAAGGUAGAGCCGUUUGCUUCUUCGCUAAUCGUGGCGAUUAAUUAAAACCUAACCUAAUCAAGUAGUUGAGAAAACUUUGAUUUUCCUGUUUUUCAAACUCCCCAUUUUAUUUGUUGUAAAAGUUGGCCUCAUGAUAGCUUAAAACUCCUGCUGGUGUAGAAUCGUGGCUUGCACGAGAUAUUUUAUGACAAAAAUCUGGGCUCUUGAUUUUCAAAUGGCUUUUAAAAAGAUCGCCAUGAGCUCCGGCGGUGCCGCGUGGAGGAAUUAGCGCCGCCGCGAUAUUAGGGCAGAGACAUCAUCAUCCCCUUUUCCUACCUGUAUCAUUUUCUUCGCAGCAUCUCUCUUCUUAUUCAACAGGAAAGAAACAAAAACGCCAGGAAUAUCUCGUACAUGCGUGCCACAUGAUCUGCCGAGAAUUUGCUUCGUGAGGCGAAAAAUUCUCUGCUCCAAAAUCCAAAUCCUUUUCUGUCCUUGACCACCGUCUUCAGUGCCCAUCACGCAGCCCGAGUAAUUCACGAGCGUGCCUGAAAAUUUGCAAACCGUUGGAUUCUGAAACUUCCAUAAAUCCGUGCUUAUGGAAGUGGUAAAACAAAUCUGAGUUUACUCACCGGAGCCGUACCGGAACGAUUCCUUCCGUGGAAUCCCGGCAUUGCCUGCUUCAACGCCGAUGCAAGUGCGGGGUACUUAGUCGCAGAUCACGAGGCUAAUUAAUCGAUCAGUUUAGUGAUCAGUGAGGCUUGCUUUGCCCUCACUUCGCUGGAAGCACAGCAUUAUUCGGCACCGGCAGUGACGGACGAAGAGGCGCCUUUCCUCUCCCCGACAAAGCGACGGGGGCGCUGCCAGUGCUGGAUGCGGGGAAUCCAGGGGCAGGAUGGGCUCCCACGUGUACGGACCGGCCAUAUCGGACGGUGGUGAGGUACUCUGGAGUCGAGCCAUGACACCGGCACGUUGGAGGUUUUUUUUUGACUGGUUUGUCCCGUUGCACCGACACCUUUGGCCGCAAGUGAACGCCACGCUGCUUCGUUCACCGCGUAGACUGUUGUGUCCUGCAGAGAAUGGGGGUAGAAUUGCUGUGGGUGUUGGGAGUCGUAUGCGCUGCACGUUCUAGCAUCCUCUCUCGUUGAACUUGAACCCAUGUGUGUUAUCCUUUUAAAAUCAGUGCAACCUUUAUUUUUUGGUGGAGGGGAGUGGAAAUGGUCUUGCAAAUUUGCAGUGCUUCUAUAGUGCUGCCAUGUUGCUAAAAAGCUCAAGAAAAUGACGUCCCCAAAACAUAUGCUGUCUAUGGCUAUUUUUUUGUGAUUUAUGCAAAAAAGAAAUUGCAGAUAUUUUUGCAAAAUUUUGGCUCAUACAGUGUCAGUCCUGCUGGUCGCUGGGAUCUGCUACCAUGUGCCACAGAAUCCAUCGUGGGUGUUAACCAUCACCAGCAGAGCAACAAGUACCGAGCAAUGCCUGCCGCUCGAACAUUGAUCGCACGCGUUAUAAUAUUAGCACCAAAAUGUUGGUGAUGAGCAGUAGGCAGUGGUUGCAGGUCAGGAACAAUCAGGUGUAGGGCACUGUGCUAACCAAUUGCGCCAUCCGUACCGUCCGUGCGUGCAGGGCAGCUGAAGAAGCUUCUCGCGGCGAGGACGGGGCUGCAGCCGGCGGACCAGCAGCUGACCUACAAGGGCCGGGCGCGGGGCAACACCGAGUACCUGGACGCCUGCGGCGUGAAGAACAAGUCGAAGAUGGUGCUGGCCGAGGAUCCCGCCAGCCUUGAGCGGCGGUACAUCGAGCGCCAGAAGAACGCCAAGAUCGAGAGCGCCAACCGCGCCAUCGGCGCCAUCGCGCUCGAGGUCGACAAGCUCGCCGAUCAGGUUAGCAUCGCCGUUUCACUUCCAUCACCGAUGGCAAUGUGUCAGUGCGAGAUCAUGAGCUUUGCAGGCUGCUAAGAUAAUGGCCUUUUCAUAUAAAGAAAAUAGAGAAUGGUUGUUGUUUUUGUGGGAGUCAGUGCCGAAUCCGUGCUGCUUCGGACAUGUAAGCAUGGGGGUUGGGAUGGUGCAUUGAAUGGUGAGUUGAGUAUCCUGUCCAAGGAAUUAGGUGAGCAAAUUGAUUUUGCAUGAAUGGAUGUCCUGCCGAUGUGGUCAUGUAGAGCCGAGCAGUGAAUUUCCCACAUGGUCCCCGAGCCCAUUUAACUAGAAUAGCCAUCCGUUCCAACAGGGACACAGCUUGAAUCCCUGACAACGAUGCGCUCCUGCAGGGUAUCAUUCAUUAUGUUGCUGUUUCUCUGAUGAACGGUGACGUCAUUCUGGUAAUGCUGAUCAGGAGAAACGCUUCUCUUUCUUGUUCGUAGGUAACCAGCAUCGAGAAAUCGAUUUCCAGAGGGAACAAGGUUGCAGAGGUGCAGAUCACGACGCUGAUCGAGCUGCUGAUGCGGCACGCGGUGAAGCUGGAGAGCAUACCAGCAGUCGGGGACUCCUCUUCGCAGAGGAACAUCCAGGUACACCCACACUCACUGCAGGGAUCAGGCUACAGACUGGCAUGAGCAUCCAGACCUCAGUUUCAGGGGCACCGUUCUAUUGGUUACAGUAGCAGUGUACCAUUGGUAUCAAUAGAAAAUGAUCUGGCCUGCGAGUGGCCAAUGCAAGCAGUGUCACGACAAGCAGUGCAAGUGUUCAUGAGAUGGGACUGCAGCUAGCUGCCUGUCACCUGUCGCCGGAUGGUGAGUGGAAGCGUCACAGGUUUCAUCAGCUUCUUUCUAGAGAACAACUGGUCCAGGCGCAAGAAUUCCACCCACAACCUUUUCCCUGCUGCAAGUGUAAUGUCAGUCAGGCAUUGCCCCUCGGCGCCACCGCCAGCAAACUUUGCUCCUAGGCUGUUCUGUCAAGAAUUCAGGUCCUGAGCAAUGGCUUUAUGAAUAAAGGAUGUGCCUUUUAGGUUUACAUACAAAGAGUGUAUGGCAAGAAACGCAAAUUGCCACGGCAAGAUAGCUACAAGCUGGUGCCUCGUGGGCAUAGAUGAUUAGAGAUAUAAAAAGUGCAAAGACUUUUAUCAUGGUUGUGAUUGUGAUAGUGUCUUCAUGCCACCUCAAGAUUAGGAGGGGACAGCAGUUUCUUUACUCCUUUUCUCUCUGAAACUGAAACGAUGGCAUAAUAAAAAAAGAUCUCAUUCAGGAACACUUAUACUACUACAAAUGAAUGAUCUCUUGCGUAAAUACGCAAUGCCUCCUAAUUCUGACAUGCAUAGUAUGUGUUUUUGCAGGCGAAACGGGUGCAGAAGUGCGUGGAGACGCUGGACGUGCUCAAGGUCUCCAACGCGCGGCUGCAGGCCGUCGUCGUGACGACGAAAUGGGAGACGUUCGACGCGCCGGCCACCACACAGUGGGAGCUCUUCGACUGAAAUUCGUCGAUCAGUAAAUUAAGAGGAUACGUGUAUACGUGCGAUGUGUGUGUUCUUUCCGUGUUGUUUCAUUUUUGGUGCCCAACUGCCCAUUCGUUGUGAUCGUGGUGAGCCGCUAGGUUAGAAUGUUAGGAGAACCAAACCCCACUUAUUAACUGUUUGUAAUCACAGCACCAUUCCUCCCCGCCGGCUGUAGUCGAUUGGUCGGCAUAAUAAAGGAAAGCAUCACCGUUCUUUUUUUAUAUCGUACAGAGUCAUCCGCUGACGGCAGAGAGUGCGUGCGGAAAAAAAAAACUCUAAAGAUUUGCAUGAGAAGAAACGGUGAACGGCAAACUGAGCACAGUUCAGCUGCCAUCAACAUUCGAGUCUUCAACUUAGCACUGGUGCUCGCAUUUUUCUAAAUUUAUUUUAGAAUUUAAGAGUCCAGACAUUGAAAGCCUACCUCACGGUGGCUCUCCCGAGUGCGCGAGAUGCGGAGGUCAGCUUCUGUUUACAACGCAUCGCAUAGUAACAAGAACCCGACUGUUAAUUUGCAUGGUGAGGAUGUAUGAAUGCGGCAAUAUAAAAGGGGAAUUUAUCUACAAGCAAUGGUAAUGAUUACUACUUCCUCUGUUCAAAUUGUAGGUUAUUUUAGCAUUUGUAGAUUCAUAACUUUUAAUAUAUAUUUAAAUAUAAAUAUAUAUCCAGAUGCAUAACAAAAUUUAUAAAUUUAAAAAUAUUAAAACGACCUACAAUUUGGAAUAGAGGGAAUACAUUGUUAAGAUAAAAAAGAACAGAUGCGACAUCAAGGUAAGCAUAGCUUUAUUCUUUUAUUGUUGUCCAACCCCUUAAGAACUCUUGAGAUGAGCCCUUGCAGCAGCGACACCACCAUCAAACUCGGUCAGCGGAACAGUAAAGCCUUGAAAAAUAAAGGUUAUAUAUAUAUAUCAUUAUAUUAGCUCAUGAAAAUCUAAAAAACAACUUGUGCAUUUCUUACUUGAUGAGGACAAAUAAAUAUUGGUAUGGAGCGUGCUUCAAAGAAACAUCACAGUGUUAGAUACUUACUUACGCAUUUCUCUCCCUUUGGCACCCGCUUGUGGCAAAUGUGCGCAAUAAAAACAAUUUUCUCCACAUCUAUUUUCUCCUCGUCCUUAGGGGUGAUGAGACGACAGAUACAAGCCAUGUCCACGUCAUCUUUUUCCACAGUCUUACGACAAUCAGCCUCUAUAUGGAUAGGUUCGGGAGCCCUUUUUAUGGUUUUCUUGCAAAAACUCAAUUUUUUGCUCGUAACAAUCCUGAUCACCUCGAGUUUAGUGCAUGGUAAAAGCAGCAAAAACUGAAACAAAGAUCAAAAGCUGAAUGGUUACUUUUGUAGUCACCAUGUGUACUAGUAUGAUAUUGAUGUUAGUAUGGCUUCUAUGUUAGCAUGCUCCCUUUUAUAGCAUAUCACAAGCCAAUUAUGAACACAAAUUAAUGUUCAAGAAUCUUCAUACCGAUACAAUAUCAUUAAAAUUGAAGUUAUAAAGAAAAAUAAAUGUUUAUACAUCCUUGAACAAAUUGGUAACACUUGCAUUAAAUUUAAGUCAUAAAACAAACCAGAUGAUGUUCAUGAAUCUUUGAAUAGAUAGGCAUAGAGUUAUGGAUCAAAAUGUUUUCAUAUCUUAGAAAUUAUUCACAUAAUUUAAGACUCAUUUACUUUCAUAUCUCUUUAAUAGCACAACAUCCAAUACCAAACUCACUUUUCCUAUAAAUUGAUAUCCAAGAAUCUCUACACCAAAAGUAUUGCAAUAAUGUACAAGUUCAAAAAAAUAAUUUUGUGAACAACCACGCAUAGAGCAUUAAAAUGAAAUAUUUGAAAAACAAAUGUUAUAUUGACCUUGUAGGAUGUGGCCGUUGUUCAUUUGCUGCACGACUUCUCUUGCAAUUCCCACUCUUGAGAUGAUUGUGCAGAACUGAUGUUCCUUUACUAGUCUCGCAUCCAAGCACCUUCCCGGAGUAAUUACAUUGUGGUUUCAAAGGCUUUCCGUCAGCG